rnacentral:lncRNA from 1 species
GGCAGCACACCUGUUUUAAUGUAUAACUCUGUGCAUCCUUUCAGCCGCGAAAGAGAAUCGACGUGUCCCAUCUAAACCAAAAACAUCACCCAGCCCAGACGUACCACAAACAAAAUCUGUUCCAAAAGAAACUCAGCGGGUUCCUUCCAAACUUAAAACAUCACCUAGUCCAGAUGUGCCACACACUAAACCUGGAGUCAUUCGAGCCCUUCAAGAGCCAGUCACCGCUACAACUCCUCAUUCUCUUGAACGAGCAAAAGCAACACUGGGUAAUAAUAUUUAUUCAAUAGGUAGUCACUUUGUUUUGUUUGUUUUCAUUCUU